AUGGAGUUCCCUGCUGCGCUCAAGUGCGCCGCCGUCGCAACCGAGCUCGUCGGAACUGCGUUCGGGCUCAUAACCAACAUCAAUCAGGCGCUUGAGAAGGCACGCCAAAACAAGGCGGACUACCAACACCUCAAGCAGCGCCUGCCGACGAUCGGCUACGUGCUGCAUCGCCUGCCGCCGGACCCGGAGUUGGAGCCGCUGCUUGCCCCGCUGAUCAACAUGCUGCAAGAGGCGUACGACGUGCUGGUCAGUUGCCAGAAGCGGAGCUCCACCAACCAGCUCAUCCGGGCUAGCAUCCAUGCCGACAGGUUAAGAUGCUGGAGCCCUGGAGCCAGACGCCACCGUCGACGACGACCCCUACUACACCGGAGGUGCCCCUACUACGUGCAGCCCGCUGACGACGACCUGGAGUAG
rnacentral:rRNA from 1 species